AACGAACGCUGGCGGCAUGCCUAACACAUGCAAGUCGAACGAGACCUUCGGGUCUAGUGGCGCACGGGUGCGUAACGCGUGGGAACCUGCCCUUAGGUUCGGAAUAACUCCCCGAAAGGGGUGCUAAUACCGGAUAAUGUCUUCGGACCAAAGAUUUAUCGCCUUUGGAUGGGCCCGCGUUGGAUUAGCUAGUUGGUAGGGUAAAAGCCUACCAAGGCGACGAUCCAUAGCUGGUCUGAGAGGAUGAUCAGCCACACUGGGACUGAGACACGGCCCAGACCCCGACGGGGGGAAGCAGGGGGGAAAUUUGGAAAAUGGGCGAAAGCCUGAUCCAGCAAGGCCGGGGGAGUGAUGAAGGCCUUAGGGUUUAAAAGCUCUUUUACCCGGGAUGAUAAUGGCAGUACCGGGAAAAAAAGCCCCGGCAACCCCCGU
rnacentral:rRNA from 1 species